AGCGAACGCUGGCGGCAGGCCUAACACAUGCAAGUCGAACGAAGUCUUCGGACUUAGUGGCGGACGGGUGAGUAGCACGUGGGAACGUGCCUUUAGGUUCGGAAUAACUCAGGGAAACUUGUGCUAAUACCGAAUGAGCCCUUCGGGGGAAAGAUUUAUCGCCUUUAGAGCGGCCCGCGUCUGAUUAGCUAGUUGGUGAGGUAAAGGCUCACCAAGGCUACGAUCAGUAGCUGGUCUGAGAGGAUGACCAGCCACAUUGGGACUGAGACACGGCCCAAACUCCUACGGGAGGCAGCAGUGAGGAAUCUUGCGCAAUGGGCGAAAGCCUGACGCAGCCAUGCCGCGUGGAUGAUGAAGGUCUUAGGAUUGUAAAAUCCUUUCACCGGUGAAGAUAAUGACUGUAGCCGGAGAAGAAGCCCCGGCUAACUUCGUGCCAGCAGCCGCCGUAAAAC
rnacentral:rRNA from 1 species